rnacentral:rRNA from 1 species
UACGGGGGGGGUAAGCGUUGUUCGGAAUUACUGGGCGUAAAGGGCUCGUAGGCGGCCAACUAAGUCAGACGUGAAAUCCCUCAGCUUAACUGGGGAACUGCGUCUGAUACUGGAUGGCUUGGAUUCGGGAGAGGAAUGCGGAAUUCCGAGUGUAGAGGUGAAAUUCGUAGAUAUUCGGAAGAACACCAGUGGCGAAGGCGACUCACUGGACACAUAUUGACGCUGAGGUGCGAAAGCGUGGGGAGCAAACAGG